CACUUUGGAGCUGGGCUGAGUCACGGGGUGGUUUCUUUUCUGGGGAGAAAGUAUCCAAAGGAAGUGGCAGGGUUAAAGAGCCCCAGCCCCUGGGUGCACCCCGGGGGCUGCCGAGUGUUCGAUGCGGAAGGGCCGAUAGUUAACUACCGUCUCACGCACGGGAUGAAAGCCCCGGUCGGUCUUUCUUUGAUCAAGAGGGUGAAGAAACCGUGAUGCUCAUAUCCGGGGCCGGUCCUCCCUGUGUUCUGUAUUUAGCUACCCUGGUUCCAGGCAGCCAUCAACUCGCUCCUGGUCAAUAUCCACCUGACCUCUAUGACACAGCGCUAACCAAGGUCAUGACUGCGGGCCUGUAUUACUAUUUCACGAAUCUUCGUUGCCCACUGUUCCCACCAGACCGAAAGCUCCUAAGGCAGGCGUUCUGUUUUGCUGGCCAUUGGAUUCCUGGCAUAGAUGGAUACCUGGCACUUGCCUGACCCAUGUUAAUAUCCAUCGAAUGUGCACCAGUGAUCUGCCGUGAGCCAGGCAUUGGCAAAGCAGGGACGGGGCAGGCAGAGAGAACUUCGCUCUCAAGGGGCACACGUUGCCCUUGUGUGAACUCGUGACCUUCUGAUCUUGUGGAGUCUCAGAAAACCAGAAGCUUCUUUUCCUGGGUCAACAGGAAGUGACCUCAGCACGCUUGUAGUUCAUCUUUUUAAUACGGAUUAAUUUCCCUGACGUGUAGUUUCCCCUUUAUCUCAAGCAAAAAUUGAGCAAUUUUGCUCUCCGUGUAAUCACUGCAGGCCUCCCACAUAUUGUCUAUUUCCCCAAGGCUCUGUUAUCACAACAGUGUGGAAUUGAAUAAAUUUCGGCACAUGGCCCUAAAGGA